GCCCGAGCUACACUGGAAAUCCUCAUCCCUGACUUUGUUAAACAGACCUCUGAAGAGAAGCCCAAAGACAGUGAAGAACUUGAGUAUUUUAACCACAUCAGCAUCGAGGACUCGCGGGUCUACGAGCUGACCAGCAAGGCUGGGCUGUUGUCUCCGUAUCAGAUCCUCCACGAGUGCCUUAAAAGAAACCAUGGGAUGGGUGACACGUCUAUCAAGUUUGAAGUGGUUCCUGGGAAAAACCAGAAGAGUGAAUACGUCAUGGCGUGUGGCAAGCACACAGUGCGCGGGUGGUGUAAGGACUCCUUCUCUGCUGCCCGGUGGCCGCCGGGCGGGCGGCCCCUGGUGUGGCCCUGCGCCUCUGUGGCUUGGUCUCAGCUGUUGCCCUGGCAUUGUCCCUGAGCCCAGCUGUGUGUGCUGGCCACCACACGUUCAGCCUAAGGCGGACUGGCGGCCGUCCUGCCUGCACUUUUUCUGUCUUCUCCCUUUCCACCGCUGCCACCCCUGUCUCCAUCCAGCCCUUGUCCCUGUGGCAGGAGGAAAGGCCCUCCUCCUCGAACAGCCAGCAGAAUCCUGCUGCUCCCUGUUUCUGGAGGUGUGCGUCUUGGUGGGAGGGAGGCUCUUGGCUGCGUG
rnacentral:sRNA from 1 species